rnacentral:sRNA from 1 species
CCCUGGAGCUCAGCGAGGGGAAGGUGCUUUCCUUACCUCUAAACAGCAGUGCAGUCGUGAACUGCUCCGUGCACGGCCUGCCCACCCCUGCCCUACGCUGGACCAAGGACUCCACUCCCCUGGGCGAUGGCCCCAUGCUGUCGCUCAGUUCUAUCACCUUCGAUUCCAAUGGCACCUACGUAUGUGAGGCCUCCCUGCCCACAGUCCCGGUCCUCAGCCGCACCCAGAACUUCACGCUGCUGGUCCAAGGUUCAGGGGGCAGGGAGGGGGUGGGCUUGGAUGGGGACAGUGUGGGGUGUGGGACCUGGACAAACAGGACGAGUUCCUGAGUCCCUGGCUGGGGACUCCAUCUUCUGCUCGAUUCCUCUCUUCUCUCUCUCUCUCCUCUCCCUUCACUUUCUUCCCAUCCCCACCACCCACAGGCUCGCCAGAGCUAAAGACAGCGGAAAUAGAGCCCAAGGCAGAUGGCAGCUGGAGGGAAGGAGACGAAGUCACACUCAUCUGCUCUGCCCGCGGCCAUCCAGACCCCAAACUCAGCUGGAGCCAAUUGGGGGGCAGCGUAAGGGACCUUCCUCUCCACCCUGAACCCCCUCUCACUCAUCCAAGUAUCA